AAUCAACGCUGGCGGCGUGCCUAACACAUGCAAGUCGAACGCGAAAGUCCCGCAAGGGAUGAGUAGAGUGGCAAACGGGUGAGUAACACGUGGGUGACCUGCCUUCGAGCGGGGGAUAACGUCCCGAAAGGGACGCUAAUACCGCAUGACAUCCUGCCUUUGAAGAGGUGGAGAUCAAAGCUGGGGAUCGCAAGACCUAGCACUUGAAGAGGGGCCCGCGUCUGAUUAGCUAGUUGGUGGGGUAACGGCUCACCAAGGCAUCGAUCAGUAUCCGGCCUGAGAGGGCGGACGGACACACUGGGACUGGGACACGGCCCAGACUCCUACGGGAGGCAGCAGUGGGGAAUUGUUCGCAAUGGGCGCAAGCCUGACGACGCAACGCCGCGUGGAGGAUGAAGACCU
rnacentral:rRNA from 1 species